AUUGAACGCUGGCGGCAGGCUUAACACAUGCAAGUCGAGCGAGCGGCGGACGGGUGCGUAAUGUCUGGGAAACUGCCUGAUGGAGGGGGAUAACUACUGGAAACGGUAGCUAAUACCGCAUACCAUCAGAUGUGCCCAGAUGGGAUGAGCUAGUAGGUAGGGUAAUGGCUCACAUAGGCGAUGAUCCCUCGCGGUUCUGAGAGGAUGACAAGCCACAAUGGAACUAAUCCGCAGUCCAGACUCCUACGGGAGGCAGGAGUGGGGAAUAUUGCGCGAUGGGCGCAAGCCUGGUGCAGCCAUGCCGCGUGUGUGAAGAAGGCCUUCGGAUUGUAAAGCACUUUCAGGGAGGAGGGGUGACUCUCAGAAGAAGCACCGGCUGACUCCGUGCCAGCAGCCGCGGUAAUUC
rnacentral:rRNA from 1 species